rnacentral:rRNA from 1 species
UACGUAGGGUGCAAGCGUUGCCCGGAUUUAUUGGGCGUAAAGGGCGCGUAGGCGGCUCUGCACGUUCGUUGUGAAAUCGCCCGGCUCAACUGGGCGGGUCAGCGGGAUACGGCAGAGCUUGAGGCAAGCUAGGGGCAAUGGAAUUCCCGGUGUAGGUGGUGGAAUGCGUAGAUAUCGGGAGGAACGACCAGUGGCGAAGGCGGAGUGCCUGGGCUUGGCUGACGCUGGACUUGCGCGAAAGCGGUGGGGAGCGAGACGGCGAAC